CAGCAGUGAGGAAGGUGGGUAUGUUAAUAGCAUAUUCAUUUGACGUUUAGCUGCAGAAGAAGCACCGGCUAACUCCGUGCCAGCAGCCGCGGUAAUACGGAGGGUGCGAGCGUUAAUCGGAAUUACUGGGCGUAAAGCGCAUGCAGGUGGUUUGUUAAGUCAGAUGUGAAAGCCCGGGGCUCAACCUCGGAAUUGCAUUUGAAACUGGCAAACUAGAGUACUGUAGAGGGGGUAGAAUUUCAGGUGUAGCGGUGAAAAUGCGUAGAGAUCUGAAGGAAUACCGGUGGCGAAGGCGGCCCCCUGGACAGAUACUGACACUCAGAUGCGAAAGCGUGGGGAGCAAACAGGUUUAGAUACCCUGGUAG
rnacentral:rRNA from 1 species